rnacentral:rRNA from 1 species
GUUGACCUCGGAUCAGGUAGGAAUACCCGCUGAACUUAAGCAUAUCAAUAAGCGGAGGAAAAGAAACCAACAGGGAUUGCCCCAGUAACGGCGAGUGAAGCGGCAACAGCUCAAAUUUGAAAUCUGGCCCCAGGCCCGAGUUGUAAUUUGCAGAGGAUGCUUUUGGCGCGGUGCCUUCCGAGUUCCCUGGAACGGGACGCCAUAGAGGGUGAGAGCCCCGUACGGUUGGACACCAAGCCUUUGUAAAGCUCCUUCGACGAGUCGAGUAGUUUGGGAAUGCUGCUCUAAAUGGGAGGUACAUUUCUUCUAAAGCUAAAUAUUGGCCAGAGACCGAUAGCGCACAAGUAGAGUGAUCGAAAGAUGAAAAGCACUUUGAAAAGAGGGUUAAACAGCACGUGAAAUUGUUAAAAGGGAAGCGCUUGUGACCAGACUUGCGUCCGGUGAAUCACCCAGCUCUCGCGGCUGGGGCACUUCGCCGGCACAGGCCAGCAUCAGCUUGCCGUCGGGGACAAAAGCUUCAGGAACGUAGCUCCUCUCGGGGAGUGUUAUAGCCUGUUGUAUAAUACCCUUCGGCGGGCUGAGGUACGCGCUCCGCAAGGAUGCUGGCGUAAUGGUCAUCAGCGACCCGUCUUGAAACACGGACCAAGGAGUCAACCUUAUGUGCGAGUGUUUGGGUGUUAAACCCCUACGCGUAAUGAAAGUGAACGCAGGUGAGAGCUUCGGCGCAUCAUCGACCGAUCCUGAUGUUCUCGGAUGGAUUUGAGUAAGAGCAUAUAGGGUUGGACCCGAAAGAAGGUGAACUAUGCGUGUGUAGGGUGAAGCCAGAGGAAACUCUGGUGGAGGCUCGCAGCGGUUCUGACGUGCAAAUCGAUCGUCAAACAUGCGCAUGGGGGCGAAAGACUAAUCGAACCUCUA